GAUGAACGCUGGCGGCGUGCCUAAUACAUGCAAGUCGAGCGAACAGACGAGGAGCUUGCUCCUCUGACGUUAGCGGCGGACGGGUGAGUAACACGUGGAUAACCUACCUAUAAGACUGGGAUAACUUCGGGAAACCGGAGCUAAUACCGGAUAAUCUAUUGAACCGCAUGGUUCAAUAGUGAAAGACGGUUUUGCUGUCACUUAUAGAUGGAUCCCCGCCGCAUUAGCUAGUUGGUAAGGUACCGGCUUACCAAGGCAACGAUGCGUAGCCGACCUGAGAGGGUGAUCGGCCACACUGGAAAUGAGACACGGUACAGACUCCUACGGGAGGCAGCAGUAGGGAAUCUUCCGCAAUGGGCGAAAGCCUGACGGAGCAACGCCGCGUGAGUGAUGAAGGUCUGCGGAUCGUAAAACUCUGUUAUUAGGGACGAACAAAUGUGUAAGUAACUAUGCACGUCUUGACGGUACCUAAUCAGAAAGCCACGGCUAACUACGUG
rnacentral:rRNA from 1 species